GCGCCCUAUUCAGCAACAUAUAUGUUGAAAUUGGAGCAAUACAGAAAAGAGCAUGAUCUUUAUACAAAGAUGACAUGCAAAGUCAUGAAGCUGACCAUAUUUUU
rnacentral:snRNA from 1 species